rnacentral:snRNA from 1 species
GAGACUCCCAAUGGAAAUGUUCU